rnacentral:tRNA from 1 species
CUCCUCGUGGCUUAGUGGUAAAAUAUUGGUGCGUAAAACCAGGGACCCGGGUUAGAUUCCCGGCGAGGGGU